CUACGGGAGGCAGCAGUGGGGAAUAUUGGACAAUGGGGGAAACCCUGAUCCAGCAAUGCCGCGUGUGUGAAGAAGGCCUGCGGGUUGUAAAGCACUUUCGGUUGGGAGGACUGCUUCUAGCACUAAUAUUGUUGGAAGUUGACGUUACCUUCAGAAGAAGCACCGGCUAACUCCGUGCCAGCAGCCGCGGGAAUACGGAGGGUGCAAGCGUUAAUCGGAAUUACUGGGCGUAAAGCGCGCGUAGGCGGCUAGAUCAGUCGGGUGUGAAAGCCCCGGGCUUAACCUGGGAACUGCAUCCGAUACUGUCUAGCUUGAGUACAGGAGAGGAGAGUGGAAUUCCACAUGUAGCGGUGAAAUGCGUAGAUAUGUGGAGGAACGCCAAUGGCGAAGGCAGCUCUCUGGCCUGAUACUGACGCUGAGGUGCGAAAGCGUGGGGAGCAAACAGGAUUAGAUACCCUUGUAGUC
rnacentral:rRNA from 1 species